rnacentral:lncRNA from 1 species
GUUGAUGUGUUGAUACAUUUACAUUAGCAAAAAUGUUAAAGUCUUCUUUUACAGUGUCUUCCUUGUCUUUUAAUCCCAGGUAAUGUAAGAAGAUGAUGGGGUGUAUAAAUAAAUCAGAACUGCUAUUUUUCAAAUGGAAAUGACAAGUAUGUGCUUGCAUAAUGCCAAAAUAUGAAAAUAAUAACCUAAAAAGAGGAAAAAUAGGUGCUUCAAGGAAAUUAUGUCUCCUCUGAUGUUGCAUACAAUCAAGUUGGAGCAACAAGAUGUAGUUUUGAAAACUUACUCAAAUCCCUCAUAUAAACUUGGAACUUCCUUCCAGAAAUAUCCCCUAUGAAGACUUUAUGCACAGACAUUUCUAGGUGAGAAUUAUAAGUCACAACUGCCUAAAAUCAGUGAACUGAAAAUGUAUGAACAAGAAAAUACAGAAAAUAUAAUUACACUUCACUGUUUCAGGCCCCCGAUCCUAACUCAGUCACUGCCCUCUGUGUGAUCUCUGGCUUGUCCUCCCCUUGCUGCCCGAAUCGGAGGAGGUCUUCUCUAACAAAUAUCUCACUCAAUUUAUACUACCUCCAAGGAGAAGGAGCAAUAAGACAAGUGAACACAAGGCGACAGCUACUAAGCUACUCACAGAUCAGCCUG